rnacentral:rRNA from 1 species
AUGGCCAAACACACAAGCUCGCCUGCUUUCUUCUCUGCCGUGCGUGCUCGCUGCUCCAGCUCCCCUUUCGCACCACCAUCACGGCUCCGCCGGGAGCGCCCCUACCCGUUGCCGUAUCCUCCAACAGUGCCUCCGCCCCUAUGCCACGGCCACCCGCCUCGCCUCACGGGCUUCGGCCGCCCCCGCGCGCCGCGUCGAGACGUCCGCGCCAGCCGGGUCCCCCGCUCCGGCUUCCGCAGCGCCGGGUCCGGCGCUUCCCGCAUCCGCCCCGUCUGGCGCCUGGUCCGGUCCCUCCGCAUCCAGUCAUCCCCGUGCAGCGCUCCCUCACCCAGGUCGCCUCGCCAGCUCCAGCUCCCGCCGGGUCUGCGUGCGACCACAUUCGUCGACCCAGUCGGCCGGCUCCGUCCCCGCGGCCGGCUCUCUGCCCCGCGCCAUCCGGCCUCCGUCGCUCCAUGCCGGCUCCUCCCCCCCCAGCCCGGCCGGCUCCCGAGCACCGCCACUUCCGUGCCGGCCGCCGGCUCCGCCCCUGCCGAGACGCCUCGCCCGCCCACCGGUGGGCCAGCUUCGCCUCGCCUCGGCCGCCUUCGCGCUGACCCGGCCCCUAUUCCGGGCUGCCUCCUCACGGCCACGCUGGCUCCUCCCGCAGCCCGGCUGCACCGGCUCCGGCUAGCUUCGGCCUCGCCUGCUCGCAGCAUCUGGCUGCGCCCCGCCCAGGCCGACCCUCCAGCAGUGCCCGCAUCGCCCACUGCUCUCCUCGUCGCCGCCGAGCGCCGUCUCCACCUCGCGGCCGCUGUGUCUCCAUCGGCUCGCACCCGCGGCCCAGCCUCGCCAUCUCUGCCAGCCCUCGCGUCGAGUGCCCGCACCUGCGCCGAGUCCCCGCACCCCGUCGUCUCCGCCGGCUCCGCCCCGAGGGCCCGGCCGCCAUCGCCGCGGCUGCCGCGUGCUCCUCUGCCCGUGCCGGCUGUGGCCCCUUGCUGGCCCAGCCGCCUCCCGCGCCACUGGACCCCGACCUGCCUCGUGCUGGCUGCGGCUCCAGCCUCCGCCGCCUGCGCCGCUCCCGCACCCGGCCGCCGGUUUCUGCACCCGCCUUCCCGCGACCCGGUUGCCUGCCGCCGUCCCCAUGCUCCAACUGUCCGACUGCUUCACGGGAAGAAAGAUAGAGAAAAGAAGGGGAUGGCUGGGUCAACACAGUGCGCCGACUACCUAGCCGGCCGCUAG